rnacentral:rRNA from 1 species
AGAGUUUGAUCAUGGCUCAGGACUAACGCUGGCGGCGUGCCUAACACAUGCAAGUCGAACGGUAACAUGCGCUGUAGCAAUACAGUGUGAUGACGAGUGGCGGACGGGUGAGUAAUACAUACAUAACCUACCAUUUAGCCGGGGACAACCCGUGGAAACGCGGGCUAAUACCCGAUACGAUCAGUGAACCGCCUGGUUUAUUGAUGAAAUCACUUAGAGGGCUGAAUGAUGGAUGUAUGCCUGAUUAGCUAGUUGGCGGGGUAACAGCCCACCAAGGCGAUGAUCAGUAGCUGGUCUGAGAGGACGAACAGCCACACUGGAACUGAGACACGGUCCAGACUCCUACGGGAGGCAGCAGUGAGGAAUUUUGCUCAAUGGGCGCAAGCCUGAAGCAGCGACGCCGCGUGAAUGAUGAAGUCUUUCGGGAUGUAAAGUUCUUUUGGCGGGGAAAAUUAUGAUUGUACCCGCAGAAUAAGCACCGGCAAACUAUGUGCCAGCAGCCGCGGUAAUACAUAGGGUGCAAGCGUUGUCCGGAUUUACUGGGCGUAAAGAGCGUGUAGGUGGUGGAAUAAGUCAAACUUAAAAGACUCUUGGCUCAACCAGAGUUCGGGUUUGAUACUGUUUCGCUAGAGAUUGGGAGAGGAAAGUAGAACUAACAGUGUAGCGGUGAAAUGCGUAGAUAUUGUUAGGAAUACCCGUGGCGAGGGCGGCUUUCUGGACCAAUUCUGACACUGAGACGCGAAAGCGUGGGGAUCAAACAGGAUUAGAUACCCUAGUAGUCC